rnacentral:rRNA from 1 species
AUUGAACGCUGGCGGCAGGCCUAACACAUGCAAGUCGAACGAGUGGCGGACUGGUGAGUAAUGUCUGGGAAACUGCCCGAUGGAGGGGGAUAACUACUGGAACCGGUAGCUAAUACCGCAUACCAUCGGAUGUGCCCAGAUGGGAUUAGCUAGUAGGUGGGGUAAAGGCUCACCAAGGCGACGAUACAUAGCCGACCUGAGAGGUUGACCGGCCACACUGGAACUGAGACACGGUCCAGACUCCUACGGGAGGCAGCAGUGGGGAAUAUUGCACAAUGGGCGCAAGUCUGAUGCAGCCAUGCCGCGUGUAUGAAGAAGGCCUUCGGGUUGUAAAGUACUUUCGGCGAGGAGGCGUUACUCGCAGAAGAAGCACCGGCUAACUCCGUGCCAGCCGCCGCGGUAAUAC